CCCUAUGGGGUGCAGCAGGCGCGAAAACUUCACACUGCAGGAAACUGUGAUGAGGGAACUCCAAGUGCGCGCACUUAGUGUGCGCUUUUCUUGACUAUUAAUCGGUCAUGGAAUAAGGGCUGGGAAAGACCGGUGCCAGCCGCCGCGGUAAUACCGGCAGCUCAAGUGGUCGUCGCUUUUAUUGGGCCUAAAACGUCCGUAGCCUGUUUGGUAAAUCUGUGGGUAAAUCAACCAGCUUAACUGGUUGAAUUCUGCAGAGACUGCCAGACUAGGGACCGGGAGAGGUGUGGGGUACUCUAGGGGUAGGGGUAAAAUCCUGUCAUCCUUAGAGGACCACCAGUUGCGAAGGCGCCACACUGGAACGGAUCCGACGGUCAGGGACGAAGCCUAGGGGCACGAACCGGAUUAGAUACCCGGGUAGUCCUAGGUGUAAACGCUGUGAACUUGGUGUCGGGAGUCCGCAAUGGGCCCCCGGUGCCGGAGUGAAGAUGUUAAGUUCACUGCCUGGGGAGUACGGUCGCAAGGCUGAAACUUAAAGGAAUUGGCGGGGGGAGCACUGCAACGGGAGGAGCGUGCGGUUUAAUUGGAUUCAACGCCGGAAAACUCACCAGGGCCGACUGUUAGAUGAAGACCAGUGUAACGAACUUGUCGGAUUUUCAGAGAGGAAGUGCAUGGCCCAC
rnacentral:rRNA from 1 species